UCACUGAGAGAUGGUGUAAGACAGCGUGACCAUGAAUUAAGGUGGCCUUCCCAGGGUGAGACUCCCAUUGCACUCUGGAUAGGCAAACUUCUGGCAUUUCCCCCAAAGUGGGAAACUGUUACACAAUCCUGGUAGUAGAGAAGUGUCUCCUCACUCUCUGU
rnacentral:snRNA from 1 species